UCUUCUCCGCCGAUGCUGCCAGACCUGCUGAGUUUUUCCAGGUAAUUCUGUUUUUGUUUUGGAUUUCCAGCAUCCGCAGUUUUUUUGUUUUUAUCUCUUCUAUGACUGGCUGUUCUGUGCGAUUGACAUGAACAUUGUGGUUGGGAUUGCAAAGUGUUUCUGUCCCCGAUUGGCUGUGAGAGACAUCAAUCAGAGAGUCCACCCACAGCUGCUUCACUUCCUUUAAGGACUGAAAACCAAGUGAGGAGAUGUGCCCAAGGACAUGUGCAGAGAAUUUGGAGGAACUUGUCAUUCCGCCUGUCAAAGUACCGACAUGGUACUUACGAGACUAAGAACUUCUUAUUGCCAUGAUCCAAAAAAUAAAUAUUGUUGCAAGCCAAGAUCGGAGAUCUAGUGAUGGAUUGGCAGCAGCCCGAGCUCUCCACAUUCUCAAUGAAUGAAACCUUUGUUCCUGGGAAACAGGCUCUGUUUGAUUGUUUCACUCUCCUAAGCCCUGACCCUGUAUUCCUGCUGUCUGAAUAAUGGGCUGUAAUCAGAAAUAAAACUGACUGCAUUGA